rnacentral:rRNA from 1 species
GACGGAGGAUGCAAGUGUUAACCGGAAUCACUGGGCGUAAAGCGUCUGUAGGUGGUUUAAUAAGUCAACUGUUAAAUCUUGAGGCUCAACUUCAAAAUCGCAGUCGAAACUAUUAGACUAGAGUAUAGUAGGGGUAAAGGGAAUUUCCAGUGGAGCGGUGAAAUGCGUAGAGAUUGGAAAGAACACCGAUGGCGAAGGCACUUUACUGGGCUAUUACUAACACUCAGAGACGAAAGCGUGGGUAGCGAACGGG